CCUUAAAUAGCUCAGGCAGUAGAGCAUGAGACUCUUAAUCUCAGGUUUGUGGGUUCAAGUCCCACAUUGGGCA
rnacentral:tRNA from 1 species